GCGCCCAUAGCUCAGUUGGUAGAGCAGUUGCCUCUUAAGCAAACGGUCCCAGGUUCGAAUCCUGGUGGGCGCACCG
rnacentral:tRNA from 1 species